UUAGUUUAUUUAAAUAUUUUCAGAUUUAACAUGGUUAAAAGAGUUUAUGAAGGGCUAUUGACGAGCACUGGCCAGGGGUUUGAAACCUCCCGGCGGUCCGGUUAAAGACGGGCCCGCCAAAGCAACAGGGUAAUUAUACAAAGGGUUGGAGAUCGGGCCUAGAAGACCCUAACUCGUUAAUGAUCCUUCCGCAGGUUCACCUACGGAAA
rnacentral:misc_RNA from 1 species